ACCUGGGUGGCUCAGUUGGUUGAGCGUCUGACUUCGGCUCAGGUCAUGAUCUCACAGUUCGUGGGUUCAAGCCCUGCGUCAGGCU
rnacentral:tRNA from 1 species